UAAGGAAUAUUGGUCAAUGGACGCAAGUCUGAACCAGCCAUGCCGCGUGAAGGAUGAAGGUCCUCUGGAUUGUAAACUUCUUUUAUCUGGGACGAAAACGGGAUUUUUAUCUCAAUUGACGGUACCAGAGGAAUAAGCACCGGCUAACUCCGUGCCGGCAGCCGCGGUAAUACGGAGGGUGCGAGCGUUAUCCGGAUUUACUGGGUUUAAAGGGUGCGUAGGUGGGCUUAUAAGUCAGUGGUGAAAUCUCCGAGCUUAACUUGGAAACUGCCGUUGAUACUAUAGGUCUUGAAUUAUCUGGAGNUAAGCGGAAUAUGUCAUGUAGCGGUGAAAUGCUUAGAUAUGACAUAGAACACCAAUUGCGAAGGCAGCUUACUACAUAUAAAUUGACGCUGAGGCACGAA
rnacentral:rRNA from 1 species